AUGAUGAAUUUCUGCUUAAAUAUGGUUAGAAUAUGUUGAUAACCCGUGAUAAUAACUUUAAAACAACUAGGGCGAUCUGAUAAA
rnacentral:snoRNA from 1 species